GAUUGUGGAGAAUUGGAAAUUCGAUUUUUAUUUUUCUUUCCUUUUUUUAUAUUUUUAUAUUAACAUCGUAAUUAUAGAAAUCGUAGAAAAAUACGAAAGAAAAUAUUAUCGUGCUCGAGGUGAUUGCUAAUUAUUAAUAUCGUGGAAGGUUUAUGGAAAAUGUAGAAAAAUAUAAAGAGAAUCGUGGUGGUUAUCAACAUUAAUUACAAAUUAAAACCGAUAAUGGAGAGAAUAUAAAGAGGAGAUACGAAGAAGGAUAAUUAAUUUGCAAAUAUUUCUCUAAAAUAAUUUUUGUGCGCCAUUGUGAUUUUCAGCUUCUCGUGAAGAAGGAAAAAAAAAGUCAAAUUUUGAAAUAGAAUUAGAAAGAAUAUUUGGGGCAACAGGGAUAAAUAAUUUAGGCGAAAAAUUAAUCCAAAAUAAAAUAGGUAUCCAUGGAAUAAGUAUCGUUGUACGUUCAAAGUCGUAAUUACAAGUCGUAUAAGUUUGUUUCGACGAGAGGAAUCUACAAGGCGAUAGGAAAGAAAACUGAAUGACACGUGAGACGAGUUAUGGAGGCUUGGCACACUACUAAGCCGCUGUUGCAUAUAUCCUAUAUAUCGUUACGUUACAUAAGUAGCCGGUCACGAAUUGUAAUUAUCAGCCGGCUUGUGCGAACUUUCUCCGCACGGUUUUUAUCAGAAUAAACACGAUCUCUUAUUGUUAAUCCCGUUCUCACCUCAUAUAAAUUCGAGAUACCCUCCUUUACGUUAUUCGCUUUAAUUUCCAAACGUGGAAACACGAUUCUCAAACGCGAUUUACGUAAUUAUUUUAAAAUAACUUAAAUUCUUACGUAAAAACUGUUCUUCUGAAUAUCUACGUACCAUUGAUUUCUUGCAACAACAACAAGGCAAUCAAACAGAAAUAUAAAAUUUUACUAAUAUUACGAGUUACCUUUCCGGAAGUGGGCGAGGGCGACGUUGAGUUUAACCCCUGCUGUAGAUGAUACAUCUUCGGGGCGAGCAUAGAUGGAGGUGCACCGAGGCUACCCGGGGCGACAGCCACGCUCGUCAUGGUCGUUUCCUACGAUGGGCGCAGUCCUCGGCUUCUUCCAACCACCUGUCCGCGACCUUCUGCGAUCUCUGUAAUUGGUCAUCCUCGUACCGUCACCUCUGAAACGCGAACAAACGUAUUUUGAACUCGAUUUCGACUCGACAGUUGUAGUUGAUAAGAUUUUAGUCGGCGAACAUCUUUUUCCUUGUAAUCGUCGUGUACAUUGUAGCGGAAUGUGCACGAUCAACUGUGAGAAGUGCAAUUAACGUUGGUAACGAAAGGUUUUCAUUUUUCAUCAUGAAACCUAAGGCGAGUACAAAGAAGAGAAAUUGUCUUAUGAAUGGAAGAAGAGCGGAGAACGAAAGUUUGCCUCGUCUUUCUUUUCUUCGAUGCAAUCAGAUAUACACAGAAUGGAAGAUAUAAUGGAAGACGGUUGUAAUCCUUAAUUCAUUUAUAAUAUAAUAUAUUUGUAAUAUUGAAAUUUAAAAUUUAACAAAUGUUAACUCCAUUCUAUAGAAAAUUGAAAAAUUAAUCGAUCUUGAUUUUCGCUGCUUUCCAUUAUUUCUUUUUGUAUCCAGUAAGGAUCAUUUAAAUAGAGGAAAUUUAAAAUUAAAAGCAAUAUAAUAAAUCGUCAAUCAAUCAACGAUUCAUUUUUUCACGUUUCGAAGGGAAUCUGUUAGAAUUGUGAUCUAGAGAUCGACCAAGCUUCGAAUUCGCGAACGAAGUUGAAAGCAAACGUCUCCUUUUUACGCACGGGUAUAAAGUCACAGCGAAAUGGCGAUUCGUUGGGCAAUCGUGUUUCGAUCGUAUUACGACACCCCACAAUGGCACCGUGUAAUUUCACUCUCGCCAGGAGAUCGCAAUUGCACAAUUUUCGUCGCGCCAGACGAGACAUUCGGGCGGACCUAGAAAGCGUCUAGGAAAUGCUAAUUCGCCAACAGUUGUUGGUCUUACAGUUACGCGUACGAAUAUAUUUUCCACGAUCCGCAAUGAACCUGUUCUGCGCUCGACAUCAACACAUCUCGGAUAAAUCUCCCGUAAAUUUCCAAAUUUUUCACUCGAAUUCUUAAUUUGCACCUGUCGGAGAAAUUCCUGUAAUUUUAUCGUAAAUUGAAACCUGAUUCCUUUUCUUGAAUAUUAAUUUCAAAAACUAUGAAACUUUUCAAAAUAAUUUCCAUCCUGUUUAUUCUACGAGUCAAGUUUCUCGUUUUAUUAAAAUACACAGAAACAAGUGGUAUGUAGAAUGUAGAAUAUUUUUCUUAUUCCUCGAAAUUUGAUCAAAUUAAUUAGAAUUAAGUUUAGAAAAAGAGAGAGAGGAAAAUAACGCUUAGAAUCGGUAUAAUAGAUUCGGAAAGAUUGGAAGGAAAGAAUUCGAAACUUUUACAAUGUAGGUUGACACACCUUUGGUAUAAACUAUACACUCUCGAUACUGUUACCUCGCACGGCUAAGAUUCAUUAUGAUGCAUCGGCAUGCCGCCGACUGAUUUUUAUUUAAGAAUCAUCGUGACACGCAUUUCAUUCCGUUGAUCUCAUUGUCGACAUCCACAUGGAUUUAUCUUAUAUUUAUAUUAACCUUCGUUUGUACGUGGAAUUCCUAUUUUUCUCUCUCUAUCUCUUUUAUUAGAAGAAUAAUGUAAUUCAAGAAUGAAGUUUUACCUUCGAAAAUGUGACAGAAUUGUAAAAAAUUGAUCACUUUUAUCUGAGUUUCAUUAAUACAAGAUUAAACGUGGAAAAUAGUGUUACACGAAUUCUCUAUUUUCAGAAUUUUCAACAUCUUUCGAACAGGAUGGUGAAACGCAACAAGGCAAAAUGGAGUGGCGAGGCUGCAAGGCUGUAUCCGAGAAAACAAAAGACAGGGUGGCGGACGUUGAGAUUUUAUUUCCAUCAAGAAGAAGUAAACCAAAGAGAACAUGAUCUCGUUAGGUGGUUAACUGACCCGAUAACGGUUCCCCGAGAGAAACGGUUACCGACACGCGGACCCAGAGAAAACGGAAAGAUAAAACGUGAAAAAAGACGUAAGAGUAAAAAAGUGAAAAGGAGCGAAGGAUGAAAGGCAAGCAGCGAGGGGGAGGGAACACGAGACAAAACUUGUAUUCAUUUUCAUCGGGAUAAAUACUAAAUCGCACGCUUUCGUUGAAUUACAACGUUUUUUCGAAACCAAUUUCGUUGUUUUUUCCCCCCGUUUAUACAGACACACGCCUAUAUUAUCGCUUCCACGUAAGAAAGUGGUAAUGCAAAUGAAAAGUGUUCCGUUCUUCCUGUUGCGCGCAGGUUUCGAACGGAUAAAACCGAUGCUUUCUUUGCAAACUUUAUGCAAAUUAUCGUCUCGAAUAAAAAUCUCUUUGUCUUGUUGUA